AUGCAGGAGCAGGGUGUCGUUCCCCUUUCUCCUUUCGAUAAGGCAGAGGGAGAGAGCUCCAACGGCGGAGGAGGCGGAGGCGAUUGCUUCUGUUCAUGGCGAUUCCGAGCUCAUCCAUCGCAGGAUUUUGAUUUCUUCUCCUUGUUUUCUUCGUCCGCCGGCUGCCCUGGUAGUAUCUCAAUGAGUACACUGCAUAAAGUCUGUCGCAAGGAUGUUCCCCUACUUUCUUCACUCGAGAGCGCUGAUUCUUUGAACGAUCCUUAUGUGCCUAAUGAUUUUGCUGAUGAUGGUUCUAGUGCUAUGUCUUUGGUUGUCCUGGUGAUGAUGAAGAGUUUGAUAAAGCACUUUACAAUUUCUAUGUGA
rnacentral:rRNA from 1 species